rnacentral:rRNA from 1 species
UACGUAGGGUGCAAGCGUUGUCCGGAAUUAUUGGGCGUAAAGAGCUCGUAGGCGGUCUGUCGCGUCUGCUGUGAAAACUCAGGGCUUAACCCUGAGCUUGCAGUGGGUACGGGCAGACUAGAGUGCGGUAGGGGAGACUGGAAUUCCUGGUGUAGCGGUGAAAUGCGCAGAUAUCAGGAGGAACACCGGUGGCGAAAGCGAGUUACUGGUUCAUUACUGACACUGAGGAACGAAAGCUAGGGUAGCAAAAGGG